GGGGACUUGGCUCAGGGGUAGAGCGUCUGCUUCGCAUUGUGUUCGUCUAGUAUUAGCACGAUACCGGGUUGUAGAAGGUCAUGGGUUCAAUUCCCAUAGUCUCCA